rnacentral:lncRNA from 10 species
GCGGGAAAAGAUCUUAACCCGUGAUUGCUGGGACUGGCUCAAGCUCCACCAGGAGCCGUCGUUCUUUUACAAAGAGGGGUGGAGGUUCCAGUGGAGGCUGUUGUUGCCUUUUUUUUUUUUUUUUUAAUGAAUGGAGGGCGGCGGCGACUGCUGCAGCUGGGCCAGCUGCGCGGGCUGCACCCCCUCCCAGCCUGCGAGAGGAGGAAGCUAGUAGAAGAUUUGUACCAACAAAACCAAGGAGUAAACAACUUGAGAAUAACUGCAUGAGCUCAGGGCUUGGACUGUCAGAUUCCAUUUCUAAGCUUCCAGAAGAGCGACACAUAGACACUGGGGAAGUCAGAGCCUUUGAACUCCAAUGCCAUCCCCGUCACCCACCUCCACCACCAGCACCACCACCGAAUGGCACUUUGGACAAUUUUUCCCUCUCAUGUGACUUUUGUCAUUUCUUACGUCAGUUGGAGCCAGCACCUCUCAAAUCCAUCUUCUAAAACCCAGAAAAUUGUGUGUAACACAUGAUGACUGAAAGGGAGUAGGCUGACCAGUUAAGAGCCUGCCACUGGAAUGGAAGGCUGUGGGAAGGUGAGGGGACGGUGGACAUCAACCGGGAAGAGCUGAAAGAUGGCGUUACCAGAACAACUUCCAGUAAAAGAAGGCACUGAGGUUUAAGUGCUACGUGGGAGCAGUUGCCGAUUUUUGCAAUGGGAGGCUGCAUAGAUUCAAGGACUUCCUUGAGUGCUCCAGGAGCUUGUCAUUCCAGAGACAGAGCAGCCCAGAAGUCCUGGGAUUUACACCUCUAGUAGAAACCCUCAACCAGAGAAGGAUGGAAGUCAAUGGGUGACCCUGCAGCCUGUGAGACCAUCUUGGCCCUUGUCAGGGCAGCCAUUUGCCAUUGCAGAUGAAGGGUGGGGGAGAGGCCAGAGACUCCUUCAGACUGUGUUGGAAAUGUCAUGAAAAUGGAAAUUCUCACAACCUGAGAGUCAUAGACCUGGAUUUGGGUUUCUGCUGUGUCAUUAAGUUCUUGCAAACCAGCACCACCGAUGGCUCUCAUGGUCCUGUGACCACAUCAUUAGUAUUCUACACCUGGCUCCACUCACAACCCAGCUGUUGGCAGGCAAAGGAGUCCUCCUUUAUGGGAAGGAGAUGAUGCAAGAGAACAUCACCAAAGGCCCCAGGACAUGACUGGUGUCUGAUAAGGGAGGAAAAGGCUUGGAGGUGAGUUAAAAUCUUGAAUCCAAGAAGCUAUACUAAGAGAUAAGUCUGCCUUGGUAUCUAGCAUCUUCAGGAAGGUGCACAUUGCAGUCAAGAUGUCAUUUAUCAGGGCUGGGCGUGGUGGCUCACACCUGUAAUCCCAGCAUGUUGAGAGGCCGAGGCAGGCAGAUCACGAGGUUGGGAGUUUGAGACCAGCCUGACCAACAUGAUGAAACCCCGUCUCUACUAAAAAUACAAAAAAUUAGCCGGGCGUGAUGGCACAUGCCUGUAA